AACAUCGCUCUUUGAAAAAAUAAUUAUAAAGAGUACUGCCUGCCCAGUGAUAAAAUUUAAACGGCCGCGGUAUUUUGACCGUGCAAAGGUAGCAUAAUCAUUUGUUCUUUAAUUGAGGACUAGUAUGAAAGGCAAAACGAAAGCUUAACUGUCUCCUUUUUAAAAAAUGAAAUUAGUAUUUUUGUGAAGAAACAAAAAUAACAAAGUAAGACGAGAAGACCCUGUCGAGCUUAAGAAAAUUUUUAUAAUAAAUUUUUAACAAGAUAAACAAAAUUCUACUAUAAAAAUAAAAUAAAAAUAUCUUUGGUUGGGGCAACCACGAAGAAAAAAAAACCUUCGUUUUUAAAAAAAAAUUUACAAAUUUAAAAAUUAUUAAAAAUUUAAAAGAUCCAGAAAAUUCUGAUCAUAGAAAAAAGUUACCGCAGGGAUAACAGCGUUAUUCUCUUUAAGAGCUCUUAUUGACAAGAGAGUUUGCGACCUCGAUGUUGGACCGGGGCACCCAAGAGGUGUAGCAGCCUCUAAAGGUAGGUCUGUUCGACCUUUAAAGCCCUACGUGAU
rnacentral:rRNA from 1 species